rfam:Xenorhabdus nematophila ATCC 19061 chromosome, complete genome
UUCAUCGCGAGAUGAAAUCUGAAGGAAGCCCGAAAGCAAAAUACGGGUCUGACGAACAGGAAACGGUGAUAGAAAGAGCAAAUAUGAUGCGGGC